rnacentral:lncRNA from 1 species
GACUGGUGACCAUUCGGGAAACAAGAGGAACGGAUUAAAAAGGAACGUUCAGGAAUAAAAUAGCAGGAAUGAAAAGGAAUGGUCGUUCCUUAUCACUUUUAACAAGGAAUACUUUUGUUCUUUAAUUCUCUACAAAAAAAGGAAUGAAAGGGAAUGAGAGGGAAUUAUUAUUCCUUGUGAAUGGUGAUUUUUUUCAGGAACGUUAGGGAAUGCAUUAUUCCUCGCCGUUCCCUGGUCACCAUUCAUACCCUAAAUUUUUUCA